GAUGAACGCUGGCGGCGUGCCUAAUACAUGCAAGUCGAGCGAACGGACGAGAAGCUUGCUUCUCUGAUGUUAGCGGCGGACGGGUGAGUAACACGUGGAUAACCUACCUAUAAGACUGGGAUAACUUCGGAAAACCGGAGCUAAUACCGGAUAAUAUUUUGAACCGCAUGGUUCAAAAGUGAAAGACGGUCUUGCUGUCACCUAUAGAUGGAUCCGCGCUGCAUUAGCUAGUUGGUAAGGUAACGGCUUACCAAGGCAACGAUGCAUAGCCGACCUGAGAGGGUGAUCGGCCACACUGGAACUGAGACACGGUCCAGACUCCUACGGGAGGCAGCAGUAGGGAAUCUUCCGCAAUGGGCGAAAGCCUGACGGAGCAACGCCGCGUGAGUGAUGAAGGUCUUCGGAUCGUAAAACUCUGUUAUUAGGGAAGAACAUAUGUGUAAGUAACUGUGCACAUCUUGACGGUACCUAAUCAGAAAGCCACGGCUAGCUACGUGC
rnacentral:rRNA from 1 species